UAAUACAUGCAAGUCGAGGGGUAGAGAGAGCUUGCUUUCUUGAGACCGGCGCACGGGUGCGUAACGCGUAUGCAACCUACCUUUAUCUGGGGGAUAGCCCGGAGAAAUCCGGAUUAAUACCGCAUAAAAUCACAGAAUAGCAUUAUUUAAUGAUCAAACAUUUAUGGGAUGAAGAUGGGCAUGCGUGUCAUUAGCUAGUUGGCGGGGUAACGGCCCACCAAGGCGACGAUGACUAGGGGAUCUGAGAGGAUGGCCCCCCACACUGGUACUGAGACACGGACCAGACUCCUACGGGAGGCAGCAGUAAGGAAUAUUGGUCAAUGGAGGCAACUCUGAACCAGCCAUGCCGCGUGCAGGAAGACUGCCCUAUGGGUUGUAAACUGCUUUUAUCCGGGAAUAAACCUUUCUACGUGUAGGAAGCUGAAUGUACCGGAAGAAUAAGGAUCGGCUAACUCCGUGCCAGCAGCCGCGGUAAUACGGAGGAUCCAAGCGUUAUCCGGAUUUAUUGGGUUUAAAGGGUGCGUAGGCGGCCUGUUAAGUCAGGGGUGAAAGACGGUAGCUCAACUAUCGCAGUGCCCUUGAUACUGAUGGGCUUGAAUGGACUAGAGGUAGGCGGAAUGAGACAAGUAGCGGUGAAAUGCAUAGAUAUGUCUCAGAACACCGAUUGCGAAGGCAGCUUACUAUGGUCUUAUUGACGCUGAGGCACGAAAGCGUGGGGAUCAAACAGGAUUAGAUACCCUGGUAGUCCACGCCCUAAACGAUGAACACUCGCUGUUGGCGAUACACAGUCAGCGGCUAAGCGACAGCGUUAAGUGUUCCACCUGGGGAGUACGCCCGCAAGGGUGAAACUCAAAGGAAUUGACGGGGGCCCGCACAAGCGGAGGAGCAUGUGGUUUAAUUCGAUGAUACGCGAGGAACCUUACCCGGGCUUGAAAGUUAGUGAAUGAUCUAGAGAUAGAUCAGUGAGCAAUCACACGAAACUAGGUGCUGCAUGGCUGUCGUCAGCUCGUGCCGUGAGGUGUUGGGUUAAGUCCUGCAACGAGCGCAACCCCUAUGUUUAGUUGCCAGCAUGUAAUGAUGGGGACUCUAAACAGACUGCCUGUGCAAACAGAGAGGAAGGAGGGGACGACGUCAAGUCAUCAUGGCCCUUACGUCCGGGGCUACACACGUGCUACAAUGGAUGGUACAGAGGGCAGCUAGCUGGCAACAGUAUGCGAAUCUCACAAAGCCAUUCACAGUUCGGAUUGGGGUCUGCAACUCGACCCCAUGAAGUUGGAUUCGCUAGUAAUCGCGUAUCAGCAAUGACGCGGUGAAUACGUUCCCGGGCCUUGUACACACCGCCCGUCAAGCCAUGGAAGUUGGGGGUACCUAAAGUAUGUAACCGCAAGGAGCGUCCUAGGGUAAAACCGAUAACUGGGGC
rnacentral:rRNA from 1 species